UUCGAGUGGUGCGCUUAAAGACUUUAUUGUAUCUGAAAGCUAUUAAAAAAUUUAAUUCUUUAGUCUUAUGGCAGUUCCUUAUGUCUUAUGUUCUUCCGUCGGUUCACUGUAUAGCAAUCUCAGAUGCGCCGAGAGGCCUUGAUCAUAAAACUGAACUGACUUGUAGCCUGAAAUUAUCGCACAAGUCCCACCCAGCCUGUCGGUUAUGCCUUAAAGUCUUAAUGGCCGCUCUGUAUAAUCCACAAGGUUCGCUGGUUAGCCGAUUUUGAACGCUGCCAAGGCAUGGCUGCCAGUUCCAUCCCAGUUCCAUUUCACAAUUAGUCGGGGCUGGGCAACUUUUCCCGACCCUGCCACGAAAUUGAAAUUAUAAUUUUCAACCGCAAUCAACCG
rnacentral:lncRNA from 1 species